CAGUCCAUCUAUGUGGUUCUGGAUUCUCUGGUGCUUUUGGUAGGACUCCGAGGCCAUGCUGGAGCCCUUUUGUAUCCAGGUCCUUUCCAAUGGAUAAUCUGCAGAAUGAGGAAUCCUUCCUGAUGAUGAAGACUCAACUCUUUCCAAGAGCCAGAUUUGCCUAUUCUGGAUAUUUCAUAUAAAUGGAAUCACAAAAUAGGUGACCAGCUGUGUUCAAGAUUCACCCAGGUUAUAGGAUGUCCUUCAUCCCUUCUUGUGGCCAAAUAAUAUUCCACUGCAUGGACAUAGAGCAUUUGCAUUCAUCGGUUGAUGACCACUACAACUCACUCAUCCAGGACUUUAGCUCCUGGCUCAUUGUCUCUCAUGCUGCCUCUCUCAUCGUUCUCAGUGAUUUCCAUACCCAGGCACACAGUGAGAGAGAGAGAGGCAGAGACACAGGCAGAGGGAGAAACAGGCUCCAUGCACCGGGAGCCCGACGUGGGACUCGAUCCCGGGUCUCCAGGAUCGCGCCCUGGGACAAAGGCAGGCGCUAAACCGCUGCACCACCCAGGGAUCCCCUUCUUCAACAAUUUGAUCUUCCCCUCAGCCUCUCCCCCCAGUGGUUAUGCCUAGACCUUGUCUCAGUAAGCACAGCCUCUUGGAAUCUCAGCUUCAUGCAUCUCACUCACUGCCCACUGUAUCUUGUCUUUCUAUUCAUUCCCUCCAAAACCUUAACUCCAACAAUUCACUGACCCUACACCUUUCCUCUACCCCUCAGCGCCCUCAUGUCUUCACACAGAUCAAACUCCUUGACCAACCAUUAUGAUCACCCCCUCACACAUUUACUACACACCUUCCCACUUCACCAUACUCAUCUGGCAACACCACAUUCCUUAUUAAAUUGAACGUCCCACCUAUCGCAUGCUUUCAUGUGUGCAGCUGAAUGUGGGCAGAGGAAAGUACACACCCAUGCUAACUGGCCUCGCCUUAAAUUCAUGCCCACUGAUUUGGAGUGGACCCCCUGGCGCUGCUCAGCAAAUUCGCCGGAGUCCCUGCUCCCUGGAUUGUCCCAGGUGA
rnacentral:lncRNA from 1 species